rnacentral:rRNA from 1 species
UACGUAGGGUGCGAGCGUUGUCCGGAAUUACUGGGCGUAAAGAGCUCGUAGGUGGUUUGUCGCGUUGUCCGUGAAAACUCACAGCUUAACUGUGGGCGUGCGGGCGAUACGGGCAGACUGGAGUACUGCAGGGGAGACUGGAAUUCCUGGUGGUAGCGGUGGAAUGCGCAGAUAUCAGGAGGAACACCCGUGGCGAAGGCGGCUCUCUGGGACGGUACUGACGCUGAGACGCGAAAGCGUGGGGAGCAAACAGG